GAUAAACGCUGGCGGCGUGCAUGAGACAUGCAAGUCGAACGAAUGACUCGGGCUUGCUCGAGUCGCUAGUGGCGGACGGCUGAGUAACGCGUAGGUGACCUACCCCGAAGUGGGGAAUAACUGCCCGAAAGGGUGGCUAAUACCGCAUGUGGUCGCACGUUCAAUCGUGCGAGUAAAGCCGCAAGGCGCUUCGGGAGGGGCCUGCGUCCGAUUAGCUCGUUGGUGGGGUAACGGCUCACCAAGGCGACGAUCGGUAGGUGGUCUGAGAGGACGAUCACCCAGACUGGGACUGAGACACGGCCCAGACUCCUACGGGAGGCAGCAGUCGGGAAUUUUGCUCAAUGGGCGAAAGCCUGAAGCAGCAACGCCGCGUGAGGGAUGAAGGCCUUCGGGUUGUAAACCUCUUUUGUCAGGGACGAUGAUGACGGUACCUGACGAAUAAGCCACGGCUAACUACGUGCCAGCAGCCGCAGUAAAAC
rnacentral:rRNA from 1 species